rnacentral:tRNA from 1 species
AAAAAGGUAAGCUAACUAAGCUAUUAGGUUCAUACCCUAUUUAUAAAGGUAUAACCCCUUUUCUUUUUA